CUCCAACGCCCAACAACCGAGCCAGACCUUCACGGAUACAGUCCAGCAGCCCAGAAGACGAUUCAUCCCGCACAAUGUCACUCUGAGGAGAGAAGAAGGGCAUGAUGGGGGCAUUGAGUCAAAGUUCUGAACUUUUUGAAUCAUCCUGACCUACAAACAUACCGCCCGGUGGAACGCUGGGCUGCGGAGCGUCCCAUCCAGCUCCGGAGCCUCCGGGUUCCCCCAGCGGCCGGUCGUACUGCGGCGUGCGGUCUCCAGGGUGCAGGUUGCGGCUGCCGGGAAUGUCUGGGGGCGUGGUGACCCAGUGGUGGUGCUGAAGCUCCGCGGGGGCUCCGGCACUCCUGACAGGAUAGCUGGGUCCGUACAGCGGGUUGUCACGGCCGCGGUAUCCGAGCCCGUCGAAGCUGUCCGGCCGCCUGGAAGCCAUCACUGUCGGUACAGGGACAAACAGCGAUAGGACGGUGACUGACACCGGCUAAACCUCUAACAGACCUAUGGAGAUCUCAACGGGGCCACCGCCAGAUCUCGAUUGAACAAAGGGAUGAGUAGCUGAAAAGGUUCGUCCUGAUAGAUUUGACCCACAAUAACACAAGAUCCAAGAGCCUGUCACCUGCUACCCGGAAGUUCUUCUUUGUUUCCGCCAGACGCAUAGCGCCACCUGCAUCAUCUUUUACUUCACUGUGUUUAAAACCAAUUAGCUGAGAUUCACAAUUCAGGCUCAGAAAACAACUUGGUUUAGUAAAAAUCCAUUACGCUCUAUUUUCUACCAUAUGUAAUAACAUGAAAUGUUAAGUAAAAUGAGAAACCGAGCAAACAUGAACUAAUUAUUUUCAAAAACAGUCAGUUACCAUAAACUUUAUUGAUUCCAGCAUUUGUGACAAUAAAAACAUUUUCUGAUACGUUGACAUCUCGACUUGUCCUUCAAUUAUUCACACACUGUAAUGACAUCACUGUUUCAGACCAUGUAUAGAUGCCCUGGAAUGUGACUGAAAUUAUGUGAACACGCUUUGCUAAAGACACUGAUUUGAUUGAUUGAUGUGUGACGAUGCAUUUUACCACAUUUUGCAGUUUUUUAAUGUCAUUAUAAAAUCUGAGUGUUCCUUAAAUCCCAUCCAUCCAAUAAUUAACUCCUUAACUCUUGGCAUAAGAAAGGAAAAUAAAGUUCAUUUAAACAAAAAUUACAGUUCUCUCCUUUAAUUUUUGGUCAGUCCUAAUAAACAUAUAUUUAAAAACACAAAGGUUCUCUGGUUGAAUCCAGCAGAGUCUAACUGCUAGCAACAGAUUGUAGUGUCUCAUCGUGUGUUAAAACUAUAGCUGAUAGCAAUGGCCUCCAGUGUGGACUUUUCACUUCUCUGUAUUAAGGCAACAGGUUUAAGGCCAGCAGUGGCCAGAAAAACUGAAUUUACCAUUAAACUUAAACUGGAUGGUAACAAUCAAAACAACUCAGUUGUAUGACAACAAAACAGUUAAUGACAAAAAACAUGUUUCA